GAAAUCCCUCGGGAUGUAAACUUCGCAAGAUUGGGAAGAAUUAGUAGGGGUUAAUACCCCCUAUGAUGACGGUACCUUUUGUAAGCUCCGGCUAACUCCGUGCCAGCAGCCGCGGUAAUACGGGGGGAGCAAGCGUUGUUCGGAUUUACUGGGCGUAAAGGGCGCGUAGGCGGUCAGCACAAGUCAGUUGUGAAAUCUCCGGGCUUAACUCGGAAAGGUCAACUGAUACUGUGCGACUAGAGUGCAGAAGGGGCAACUGGAAUUCUCGGUGUAGCGGUGAAAUGCGUAGAUAUCGAGAGGAACACCUGCGGCGAAGGCGGGUUGCUGGGCUGACACUGACGCUGAGGCGCGAAAGCCAGGGGAGCGAACGGGAUUAGAUACCCCGGUAGUCCUGGCCUUAAACGAUGGAUGCUUGGUGUCUGGAGUUAUAUAGUCUCCGGGUGCCGUAGCUAACGCGUUAAGCAUCCCGCCUGGGGAGUACGGUCGCAAGACUGAAACUCAAA
rnacentral:rRNA from 1 species